GCCUUCUUAGUGUAGUGGUCAGCACGCUCGACGCGUAUUCGAGAGGUCCGUGGUUCGAGUCCCGGCGGGGACA
rnacentral:tRNA from 1 species